rnacentral:tRNA from 1 species
GGGCGUGUGGCGCAGUGGUAGCGCGUCCGCUUUGCAUCAGUCAGAUGAGCUUGCGGAAGGGCUAGGGUUCGAUCCCCUACUCGUCCA